rnacentral:rRNA from 1 species
UACGUAGGGCGCAAGCGUUGUCCGGAAUUAUUGGGCGUAAAGAGCUCGUAGGCGGCUUGUCACGUCGGGUGUGAAAGCCCGGGGCUUAACCCCGGGUCUGCAUUCGAUACGGGCAGGCUAGAGUGUGGUAGGGGAGAUCGGAAUUCCUGGUGUAGCGGUGAAAUGCGCAGAUAUCAGGAGGAACACCGAUGGCGAAGGCAGGUCUCUGGGCCAUAACUGACGCUGAGAAGCGAAAGCAUGGGGAGCGAACAGG